GACGAACGCUGGCGGCGUGCUUAACACAUGCAAGUCGAACGGUAAGGCCCUUCGGGGUACACGAGUGGCGAACGGGUGAGUAACACGUGGGUGAUCUGCCCUGCACUUCGGGAUAAGCCUGGGAAACUGGGUCUAAUACCGGAUAGGACUCCUGGCUUCAUGGUUGGGGGUGGAAAGCUUUUGCGGUGUGGGAUGGUGCCUGCGGCCUAUCAGCUUGUUGGUGGGGUAAUGGCCUACCAAGGCGACGACGGGUAGCCGGCCUGAGAGGGUGACCGGUCACACUGGGACUGGGAUACGGCCCAGACUCCUACGGGAGGCAGCAGUGGGGAAUAUUGCACAAUGGGCGCAAGCCUGAUGCAGCGACGCCGCGUGAGGGAUGACGGCCUUCGGGUUGUAAACCUCUUUCAGCACCGACGAAGCGCAAGUGACGGUAGGUGCAGAAGAAGGACCGGCCAACUACGUGCCAGCCGCCGCCGUAA
rnacentral:rRNA from 1 species